rnacentral:rRNA from 1 species
UAACACAUGCAAGUCGAGGGGCAGCAUGGUCUUUUCUUGCUAAGGCCGAUGGCGACCGGCGCACGGGUGAGUAACACGUAUCCAACCUGCCGUCUACUCUUGGACAGCCUUCUGAAAGGAAGAUUAAUACAAGAUGGCAUCAUGAGUCCGCAUGUUCACAUGAUUAAAGGUAUUCCGGUAGACGAUGGGGAUGCGUUCCAUUAGAUAGUAGGCGGGGUAACGGCCCACCUAGUCUUCGAUGGAUAGGGGUUCUGAGAGGAAGGUCCCCCACAUUGGAACUGAGACACGGUCCAAACUCCUACGGGAGGCAGCAGUGAGGAAUAUUGGUCAAUGGGCGAGAGCCUGAACCAGCCAAGUAGCGUGAAGGAUGACUGCCCUAUGGGUUGUAAACUUCUUUUAUAAAGGAAUAAAGUCGGGUAUGGAUACCCGUUUGCAUGUACUUUAUGAAUAAGGAUCGGCUAACUCCGUGCCAGCAGCCGCGGUAAUACGGAGGAUCCGAGCGUUAUCCGGAUUUAUUGGGUUUAAAGGGAGCGUAGAUGGAUGUUUAAGUCAGUUGUGAAAGUUUGCGGCUCAACCGUAAAAUUGCAGUUGAUACUGGAUAUCUUGAGUGCAGUUGAGGCAGGCGGAAUUCGUGGUGUAGCGGUGAAAUGCUUAGAUAUCACGAAGAACUCCGAUUGCGAAGGCAGCCUGCUAAGCUGCAACUGACAUUGAGGCUCGAAAGUGUGGGUAUCAAACAGGAUUAGAUACCCUGGUAGUCCACACGGUAAACGAUGAAUACUCGCUGUUUGCGAUAUACAGCAAGCGGCCAAGCGAAAGCGUUAAGUAUUCCACCUGGGGAGUACGCCGGCAACGGUGAAACUCAAAGGAAUUGACGGGGGCCCGCACAAGCGGAGGAACAUGUGGUUUAAUUCGAUGAUACGCGAGGAACCUUACCCGGGCUUAAAUUGCAGAUGAAUUACGGUGAAAGCCGUAAGCCGCAAGGCAUCUGUGAAGGUGCUGCAUGGUUGUCGUCAGCUCGUGCCGUGAGGUGUCGGCUUAAGUGCCAUAACGAGCGCAACCCUUGUUGUCAGUUACUAACAGGUUCCGCUGAGGACUCUGACAAGACUGCCAUCGUAAGAUGUGAGGAAGGUGGGGAUGACGUCAAAUCAGCACGGCCCUUACGUCCGGGGCUACACACGUGUUACAAUGGGGGGUACAGAGGGCCGCUACCACGCGAGUGGAUGCCAAUCCCCAAAACCUCUCUCAGUUCGGACUGGAGUCUGCAACCCGACUCCACGAAGCUGGAUUCGCUAGUAAUCGCGCAUCAGCCACGGCGCGGUGAAUACGUUCCCGGGCCUUGUACACACCGCCCGUCAAGCCAUGGGAGCCGGGGGUACCUGAAGUGCGUAACCGCGAGGAGCGCCCUAGGGUAAAACUGGUGACUGGGGCUAAAU